UGGGGAAUAUUGCACAAUGGGCGGAAGCCUGAUGCAGCGACGCCGCGUGAGGGAUGACGGCCUUCGGGUUGUAAACCUCUUUCAGUAGGGACGAAGCGCAAGUGACGGUACCUACAGAAGAAGCACCGGCCAACUACGUGCCAGCAGCCGCGGUAAUACGUAGGGUGCGAGCGUUGUCCGGAUUUACUGGGCGUAAAGAGCUCGUAGGCGGUUUGUCACGUCGUCUGUGAAAACCCGAGGCUUAACCUCGGGCCUGCAGGCGAUACGGGCAGACUUGAGUACUGUAGGGGAGACUGGAAUUCCUGGUGUAGCGGUGGAAUGCGCAGAUAUCAGGAGGAACACCGGUGGCGAAGGCGGGUCUCUGGGCAGUAACUGACGCUGAGGAGCGAAAGCGUGGGUAGCGAACAGG
rnacentral:rRNA from 4 species